GCCGUUAAACCCCAACUUCUGAAUGUUGACCUCGGAUCAGGUAGGAAUACCCG
rnacentral:rRNA from 1 species